rnacentral:lncRNA from 10 species
UUUGAAACGAAGUUCACUCUUGUUGCCAAGGCUGGAGUGCAAUGGCACGAUCUUGGCUCACCACAACCUCCGCCUCCCAGGUUCAAGCGAUUCUCCUGCCUCAGCCUCCCAAGUAGCUGGGAUUAUAGGCAUGCGCCACCACGCCUGGCUAAUUUUGUAUUUUUGUUUUAGUAGAGACGGGCUUUCUCCCGACGUGAGGUGAUCCCAGAGUGCUGGGAUUACAGGCAUGAGCCACUGCGCCUGGCCUAGAAAGCAGUUUCUAAAACCAGUGUUCUUAUUUCCUUUCCAGUUUCUUCUGUUCACUUUCUACAUUCAACUUCAGUUUUAUUUCAAUGAGACUUAGAGACUUUCCCUAAAAUGCCCCAGAUUGCUGUUGGGGGAUUAGUCAAGUCACCAGAGUCAAGCCCCAGCAACUACAGUGCUUUACAGGAAGUGUUCGAUGCAAAUUUGUAUAUUUUAGACCGGAAACUGCUCCUUUUUUUUUUUUUUUUCGCAUUUUUGAACUGGGUGUCUCCUCCUGUGUCUGGAUCCAGAAAGUGAAAAAAAUUCAAUUCAAAAUAGCAACAAGUUUUUAUAGCUUUAUUGUGUGAAUUGUGAUGGCGCCUGGAAGUUUCAUCCUUCCUCUAGAUUUUCCCACUCAGAUACCAAGAGACCAAAGUCCAUUCUGUGUUCUGACUUCUGUUCUUCUACUGUGCCCUCACCCUCUUCUUAACUAGCCUUUCUUACAUGCAAGACAGAAAGAUACAGUAUGUGGUUUAUAAAUGCAUAUUCUGAACUUUUAUUUCUUUAAUCCCAUAGUAUCUUAUUUCUAUCUGAUUCCUUUUAUUGUUUUCCAAAUCUUCUCUUGAGAAUAUUUUGUUUGCUAUCCAUUUGAAGAUGAGAUUCUCAGAAGGGUGAAUGCUUCAUUAGAGGGUAGGUGAGCUUGCAAGGUGAAUUCUACUUUGAAGAAGUCAUCAGUGUCUGAACUUGAGCUAUUUAGUCUCAAAUUUUGUCAACAUAGAGAAUGAAGCCAUUCAGGGAUGAACUUAACUUUGUCCAGGCUCAUAAUGUAUAAAAGUGGUAUAUAAAUCCAGAAUGCUGAUAUAUUAGCUAUAUGAUCUCAGCAAGUGACCAUGGUUAAUAUAAAUGUUAUUUCUUCAAAGUCUAAUCCUUUGAAAAUUUACUCUGUAUAGACUUGCAUUGCAACUCCAUUUCAACUAGAAUGUUUACUCAGAAUAUUCUGUUCUUUAAACUAUUUUAGAUAACACAUUUUAAAACCAUAUAUAGAUAAUAUAGUUCUACCAAGUGACAGUCUUUCAUCAAUUGCUUAUGUUCUUUUGAAAUGUACUUUAUGAGAUUUUUUAAAAGAUCUUAAAUAUGAAUAAAAAUAUAGGACAAUGACUUGUAGCCUUUUCUCUUACAAGGUCAAGGCUCUAGAAAGAACCUUUCCAAUAUUAGCAGAGUCUUUGGUCUGCACGUGUUUACAAAUGCAAAUAAAAGCAGAGAACACAGCUAAUUUUGUACUCCUUAAAUAGCAUAAGCUUAUAUUUGUAUAGACCAUUUCUUAGGUAGUAAACUUAUUUCCUUCUGUAGAUUCUGCUUUCAUGUUUUGUCAGUCCAAUCCCAG